rnacentral:rRNA from 1 species
GCUGGCGGCGUGCCUAACACAUGCAAGUCGUGCGAGAAAAGGGUGGCAACACUCUGAGUAAAGCGGCGAACGGGUGAGUAACACGUAGGUAACCUGUCCUCGAGCCUGGGAUAACCUGUCGAAAGGCGGGCUAAUACCGGAUAUGACCGCAGGAGCAUCAGCUCCAGCGGUAAAAGAUGGCCUCUGCUUGCAAGCUAUCACUGGGGGAGGGGCCUGCGGGCCAUUAGCUAGUUGGUGAGGUAACGGCUCACCAAGGCGAAGAUGGCUAGCUGGUCUGAGAGGAUGGCCAGCCACACUGGGACUGAAACACGGCCCAGACUCCUACGGGAGGCAGCAGUCGAGAGGCUUCGGCAAUGGGGGCAACCCUGACCGAGCGACGCCGCGUGGAGGAUGAAGGCCGUUAGGUCGUAAACUCCUUUUAGGUGGGAAGAAAGGCGUUUGUGUUAACAGCACAGGCGUUUGACGGUACCGCCAGAAUAAGCUCCGGCCAACUCCGUG